CCUACGGGAGGCAGCAGUGGGGAAUAUUGCACAAUGGGCGCAAGCCUGAUGCAGCCAUGCCGCGUGUGUGAAGAAGGCCUUCGGGUUGUAAAGCACUUUCAGCGGGGAGGAAGGCGGUGAGGUUAAUAACCUCAUCGAUUGACGUUACCCGCAGAAGAAGCACCGGCUAACUCCGUGCCAGCGGCCGCGGUAAUACGGAGGGUGCAAGCGUUAAUCGGAAUUACUGGGCGUAAAGCGCACGCAGGCGGUCUGUCAAGUCGGAUGUGAAAUCCCCGGGCUCAACCUGGGAACUGCAUUCGAAACUGGCAGGCUAGAGUCUUGUAGAGGGGGGUAGAAUUCCAGGUGUAGCGGUGAAAUGCGUAGAGAUCUGGAGGAAUACCGGUGGCGAAGGCGGCCCCCUGGACAAAGACUGACGCUCAGGUGCGAAAGCGUGGGGAGCAAACAGGAUUAGAUACCCUGGUAGUC
rnacentral:rRNA from 1 species